CACGCCCUCCCUGGAAUCGGAAGCUUUUCAACUAGUGCCAUUUGCAGGCUGCCUAUUUAUAAAGGGGCGGGGGCCAUAGUAGGAACUGCAACUCCCAGAAUGCAGCGCGGAGCUUCCUGUUUCCGGCGAGAGGACCUGAGGAGAAAGAGAGAGCGCGAAAGAGAGAGGAUGUCUCUCUCAGAUUGGCACCUGGCGGUGAAGCUGGCUGACCAGCCACUUGCCCCCAAAUCUAUUCUUCGGUUGCCAGAGACAGAGCUCGGAGAAUACUCACUGGGAGGCUAUAGUAUUUCAUUUCUGAAGCAGCUCAUUGCUGGCAAACUCCAGGAGUCUGUUCCAGACCCCGAACUGAUCGAUCUGAUCUACUGUGGCCGGAAGCUAAAAGAUGAUCAGACCCUUGACUUCUAUGGCAUUCAGCCUGGGUCCACAGUCCAUGUUCUGCGCAAGUCCUGGCCUGAGCCUGAUCAGAAACCAGAACCUGUGGACAAAGUGGCUGCCCUGCGGGAGUUCCGGGUGCUGCACACUGCCCUGCACAGCAGCUCCUCCUACAGGGAGGCGGUCUUUAAGAUGCUCAGCAAUAAGGAAUCUCUGGAUCAGAUCAUUGUGGCCACCCCAGGCCUCAGCAGUGACCCCAUUGCUCUUGGGGUUCUCCAGGACAAGGACCUCUUCUCUGUCUUUGCUGAUCCCAACAUGCUUGAUACGUUAGUGCCUGCUCACCCGGCUCUGGUCAAUGCCAUUGUCUUGGUUCUGCACUCGGUGGCAGGCAGCACCCCGCUGCCGGGGGCCGACUCCUCCUCCCGGGGCAUGCCCUCCAGCUCGUACCGGGAUAUGCCAGGUGGCUUCCUGUUUGAAGGGCUCUCUGAUGAUGAGGAUGACUUUCACCCAAGCGCCAGGUCCACGCCCUCGAGCAGCACACCCGGCUCCCGCCCAGCUUCCCUGGGGUACAGUGGAGCUGCCGGGCCCCGGCCUAUCACCCAGAGCGAGCUGGCCACCGCCCUGGCCCUGGCCAGCACUCCGGAGAGCAGCUCUCACACGCCAACUCCUGGCACCCAGGGCCAUUCCUCAGGGACCUCCCCGGUGUCAUCCGGCGUCCAGUCAGGGACGCCCAUCACCAAUGAUCUCUUCAGCCAAGCUCUCCAGCAUGCGCUGCAGGCCUCCGGGCAGCCCAGCCUUCAGAGCCAGUGGCAGCCCCAGCUGCAGCAGCUGCGUGACAUGGGCAUCCAGGAUGAUGAGCUGAGCCUGCGGGCCCUGCAAGCCACUGGGGGUGACAUCCAAGCGGCCCUGGAGCUCAUCUUUGCCGGAGGAGCCCCAUGAACUCCCUGCUCCUCCUGAGCCCCCAGCAAACUGCCAAGGCCGCUGCCCAUGGGAAGCACUCUUGAAGGGGGCUUCUUGGAUUUGGCUGUGCCUCCACUGCCCACAGGGAAGACCUCUACAAGGUAGGUUUCUCCUAGAUAGAAGCCCCCGCAUCAUCUCUUUCUCACAGCCUCCUCCCCCUAUUCCCCCCAUGUGGAGUGGCAGGGAAGGGGAAGGCAGGACUGUGCCUCCCCCUCAGACCUGUCAGCGUCCACAUCUGUUGCUUCCUCUGCUGAUCCAUUUCCCAUCAUUGACUCUGAGUGUGGAUUGUGCCCCUGUCCUUGGUUCAGGCCCAAAAGCCAGCCUUGGGCCCCAGUGAAGAAGGCAGGCUCCUGUCACCACCUACACCAUUCUGGUUUGAUUUCCCCGUGCUACCUGAGGCAGGCAAGUCCACGCCAAACACUGGCCCUGUGCUCUCCCCACCCUGGGUACCCGUUCUCCUUCAUGCCCUUACUCUAGCUGCACUCUUUCGCUAUAGAGUUACUGUCCCAAAUCACUUUCACGGGCUCGCUUCUCACCUCCCCUGGCUGCCUGUAGCCAACCAGGAGUGGGCUGCCAUCUGGUGCUGGCCCUUUGCCCUUAGAUUGGCUGGCUCGGGGUGUCAAUUGGGGUGAAGCAGGUGCUGAGAUGAGCAUGGAGGAGCCCAGCCAGAGGCCCUCCCUGAACAUGAGGUGGGACGGUCUUCAGCACUACCCCGUCACCCUCACCCCAGCCUGGAAAAAAAUUCCCUGGCACCUGCCCCAGUUUCCAUCUGCUGCCCUGUUUCUUGGGAGGCUGAGCCCAGCCCCUGACCUGCCCUCCUGUUCAGCACCUGGUAACCUGGGCCCCUGUCUGGGUCUUUCUGAGGAUCGUUUGGAUCCAGCCACACACAGGAGGCAGUAGCGGAAGGGUGCGAUGCAUUGAGAGCAUUAUGAUAUAGAAGAUAAGGGGGUGGGCCCCAGAGAGACUGCCUGGACUUCAGUCCUGGCCCUUCACUAAUGAGCUGUGUGACCUUGGGCACAUCUCAUCCCCUCUCUGUUCCUCGGUUUCCAUGUUUGCAAAAGGAGCCAAAUAAUAGCACCUACCUCUUAAGCUUGCGAAGAUGAAAUGAAUUAAAACGAAGCUAUGAAACGUUCACGGCACAUAGUAACCUCAGCAUUAGCUAUUGCUAUUGGAGUCAGAAAACCCGGGUUCCCAUCAUGGCUCCAUCAGCUGAGCUUGGGGAGAUCUCUCUCCCUCCCUGUGCCUCAGUUUCCUUCUCUAAUAUAGGGAUGUGCUCUCUCGCUCACUAAGGGAGAGAAUGUAGGACUGGCAGGGAGAACGUAGGUGGAAGUGGGUUGUGUGUUGUGAGUUGCUGUGCACGUGGGCAGUGUUAACGUCAAUUCUGAAUUCUCAGUUCUUAAAGGCAGGGCAGGCAAUUUCUUAAUUUGCUUACCUUGCAGAGAGGGCAGACACUGGGGGUCAUAAAGUUCAGCAGAUGAGGCUGGAAACAGAGUGUCACUCUUGGAGGCCAGCCUGGGCCAGGACGUGCUGUUGGCUUCAGGGCCACAGGCUUGGGUAUAGGACUGGGGAGGGGCUGUUCGACUGUCCACAGCCUCCCUCUCUUUGUGGCAGUGUACCUCUGGGCAUCAUGAAGCUGUUGGCCCUACCCAGCAGGCCAGGAACCUAGUCCUGCACUAUCUCUGGAGGCAUCCCGAUUUCACCUUUUGGCUUGUUGGGGUAUCUUAGGAGCACUUAGGGAAGAAAGGAGGGAUAGCUGGAAACCAAAUAUGGAAUGGUAAGGCAGAACUUCCCGGUGAUAACCUUUUCUUGGCUGUGGAGCUGGACAGAGGGCUGGAGCUGGGGCUGGGGCCAGGGCAGCCUGUUCCCUGUCUUUGGUGGUGUCUGCAGUAUGUGAAUCGAGUCCAGCUAGGUGUGUGUGUCUUGGAGGCCCCAAUGCACCUCUGCUCCUUCCUCCUCAACCUAUCUUCUCUCCGUGCAGUCCAUCUGGGGAUAGACAUCCAAUAAGCACUGGAUAAGUGGAUUUCCCAUCCAUGGUUACCUUGGGCCGAAACAGAGAUGGAGGGUCUGGACCCUCUCUGGUUUGAGGGAGAGGAGACUUCUUUACAAAGGGCAAACAUGUGGCUCUGAAAAGAUAAGCUGACAGCAGAGCUUCCUGGGGCUGUUCAGAUGACUGCAGAGGGACUGGGCCGGACCCUGCCGGGGGUCACCACCAGGUCAUCAGGUUGCCUGCGCAGCUGAGCCCUAUGCAUCUUGUGGGCAGAGAUCACUUAAAGCUGGUCUGAUUCUGCCUCCCCAACAGUGAGUCCUGGGCAUGCAGGAUGCUCCCCUCUCUUUCUACUUGGGGAAGGGGACUUCUUAAUUAUAUCCCCCUCCACUCACAUGGAAAUGAGUUUGGAUUUUCUGAGCAUACACCAGCUGGCUGGGGGGGAGGCAGCCCAGAAGGCUGCUGCUGGCUGGGGAAGGGAGGAGAAAGGAGGGGAGGGAGCCAGGCCAAGAUGAAAAUUCCGUGUUCUCACAGCAGAGCAAGGAUGGGGCUCUGAGUGCUCCCCACAGGUUACUGACCCUAUGCCUGAAACCCACCCCCCCUCAUUAGGGAAGAGCAUCUUGCUCCUGCUUAUAGGCUCAGAGGAGCUGUUAUCCACUCAGGCCAGUCCAUCCUCUGAGCACUACAGCCUUCAGGGUCCAAACACUUAACUGACCAUUAGCGAGGUUGUGCCCUCAGGAGAGGUCCUCCCUGACUUCUAGGCCAAUCCCUUUAUGGGGUGGGGGGAGUGAAUCUAAGGCCCUGAGAGGGGACAGGACCUGGAGCCGAUCACAGAAGACCACAAGUCUGCCUUGCUUCCCGCCCACCCGGGUUCUCCCCGUGGAGUUGCCCAGGAAGAGGUGGUGAAGGUUCCUCGGGCGGCGGUCACUGCGCCCCCUUGGCCAGCCGGGAGGCGAGAA